AUUUUUUCUAUACAUGAAGAUAUUUCAUAUAUUUAGAACAUUGAUGUACCGUCCCAGGCUGAAUGUUUAUAUGUUGUUAGUUCUAAUCAGAUAACAUUUAUGUUCCAAUAAAGUCUACCCUUCAGUUCAGAUGGUCAAAUAGUUAAUUUUGGACUUUUUUUAAUUUUCAGCUGCCAUAUUUAAACACUGGAAGUAAUCCUGAAGAAUGCCAGCUUUCUAAACGGGUUUGGAGUGUAGUAUUCCGCAACACAAAGCGUGCAAGGUAUUGCUGCCCUUUUGAUACAAAAUGGUUACAAGUGGCACUGAGAUAAAUGAUGGUAAACGUUGUUAAAAUUUAACACGAAACCCAACGACAGGCACGAGCAAAUACAUUGACAAUUCUGGAUGUCGCAUAUUGGUUCCACUAGCUUUUGCUAACAUAUUUCGGCCAUUUAACAAACUGAAGUACCGUGCUGCUCAAAGCAUGAUGGUAUCGGCAUGAUGAUGCACGGCAGUUGAUUUAAAGGUGCUAGGCAGAAGCCAAUGAUGAACUCUGAAUUGUUUUGUUAACAUUAUGCCAUAAUGUCUAAAAACACCCCAAUAAACUGUUCAUAAGAGCAUAUCGAU